CUCUCUCAUCUUUUAAACUCCUCUAUUGAAAAUUAAAGGUCUCUCUCAAUUUUUUCAUUUUUGUCUUUUGAAGGUCUCCUUUGUUGGUAAUUUUCAAUAUCCUAUCUAGUGAAGAUUUUCAAUAGAGGAGUAUGGGUACACUCAAGUUAUUGAUUCAAUGGCAAGCUCCAAUGCUGGUAUGACCAAAUAUGGAGCUCUAGCUAAAGUAUAUUUUGAGAAGCUUCGAUGGACAGCAAAACUGAGCAGAAAAUAAAAAUAGAGUACCAUAAAUUUGCAGAAAAUGUGUUCUGCACAGGAAUUGCAUUUGUUCCCAAAACAGGAGCGGAAGAAGAAGAUGAUAGCUGGAUUAUCACUUAUGUUCACAAUGAAAAGAGCAAUGUGUCUCAAGUAAUUAAACUAAAAUAAACCUAAAUAAUCUUUUUAUUGUUGAUCAUUAACUUAAUUAUCAAUUAAUUGGAUAUGAGCCAAUUGCAAUUAAAA